UACGUAGGGAGCAAGCGUUGUUCGGAUUUACUGGGCGUAAAGGGCGCGUAGGCGGCAUGACAAGUCACUUGUGAAAUCUCUGGGCUUAACCCAGAACGGCCAAGUGAUACUGUCGCGCUAGAGUGCGGAAGGGGCAAUCGGAAUUCUCGGUGUAGCGGUGAAAUGCGUAGAUAUCGAGAGGAACACCUGAGGUGAAGACGGGGUUGCUGGGCCGACACUGACGCUGAGUGCGCGAAAGCCAGGGGGAGCAAACGGGG
rnacentral:rRNA from 1 species